UGCAUAUGAUAUUAUAUAAACCAUUGAUUGAUAAUAUGGAAUACGAUCGAGGCACCAAUACAUGUAUGUAAGAACUUCAUCUUCUAUCAAAGAGGACCAUUGUUAGUUUUUUAGUUCAUUACUGAAUGCCAAGCUAAGCGGUCGUUAUGUGUUUAAUAGGAAGUGCGAAAAUUACGAAAUAUUAUUACGAUAUAUUUUUAUUUGUUUUAAAAGAACGUCGUGUAAUUAUCGUUUAAUAAUCAGUGGAAAAGUAGUGUAUUGUGUUGUUUUAUUUCUCAAUGAUACAAGUGAAAAUAGAGUAUCGAUGUAGUGCCGGUGGAUUGGUUGAUAUAUAAUGAAGGAUAAGAUAAAUUCGAAUGCCCAUUUUUAAAUAAUUAUGAGCUAUCGGGAGAAAAUUUACUUCUUCUUCAAGAUUUGGUGAAGCGUCGGGCGGCACCAGCAUCGGAUAAUUGGAGUCUUCAUGAGGUGGAUGUACGAGAUUACGCGAAUACAUAUUAAAUUGCCUUGGAAAAGUUAAAAAUAUUGCAACAAAAGGAAUAUGCGUUUUCUACGGACAAUGAAGAAACCAUAAACAGAAGGCAAGAUGUUCUGAAAAAACAAUACCGCUUGAAUAAAGGGCGUUUUGUAAAUCAGAAUAACGUCGAUCAGCAGUUGUCGGAAUGUAACAUAAAUUUAGGCAAUAAGUCGCGCAAUGCUUCAAUGUUUAAUGUCUUAAAGACAGUGAACUUGUGAAGUGUUUAUAUGGUAUAAUGACAACUGAAUCAAUUAAAAAUCCGCAGUUGAGCCCUAUUAAAGAGCAAGCAUUUAACCAAGCCCUCGGGAAGGUUAUAAAUUAUUCCCGUGAUUGGGAGAAUGGGAGAGAUCAUAGGCGGAC